rnacentral:rRNA from 2 species
GCAUGCCUUACACAUGCAAGUCGAACGGUAACGGGCCUUCGGGCGCCGACGAGUGGCGAACGGGUGAGUAAUGCAUCGGAACGUGCCCAGUAGUGGGGGAUAGCCCGGCGAAAGCCGGAUUAAUACCGCAUGAGACCUGAGGGUGAAAGCGGGGGAUCGCAAGACCUCGCGCUACUGGAGCGGCCGAUGUCAGAUUAGCUAGUUGGUGGGGUAAAGGCCUACCAAGGCAACGAUCUGUAGUUGGUCUGAGAGGACGACCAGCUACACUGGGACUGAGACACGGCCCAGACUCCUACGGGAGGCAGCAGUGGGGAAUUUUGGACAAUGGGCGCAAGCCUGAUCCAGCAAUGCCGCGUGCAGGAAGAAGGCCUUCGGGUUGUAAACUGCUUUUGUCAGGGAAGAAAUCUUCUGGGUUAAUACCUCGGGAGGAUGACGGUACCUGAAGAAUAAGCACCGGCUAACUACGUGCCAGCAGCCGCGGUAAUACGUAGGGUGCGAGCGUUAAUCGGAAUUACUGGGCGUAAAGCGUGCGCAGGCGGCUUUGCAAGACAGAUGUGAAAUCCCCGGGCUCAAACUGGGAACUGCAUUUGUGACUGCAG